rnacentral:rRNA from 1 species
CCAGUAUCAUAUGCUUGUCUCAAAGAUUAAGCCAUGCACGUCUAAGUACGAGCACUUGUACUGUGAAACUGCGAAUGGCUCAUUAAAUCAGUUAUCGUUUAUUUGAUCGUACCAUUACUACAUGGAUAACCGUAGUAAUUCUAGAGCUAAUACAUGCGAAAAGUCCCGACUUCUGGAAGGGAUGUAUUUAUUAGAUUAAAAACCAAUGCGGGUUCGCGCCCGGUCAUUCGGUGAUUCAUAGUAACUCUUCGAAUCGCAUGGCCUUUGCGCCGGCGAUGAUGCAUUCAAAUUUCUGCCCUAUCAACUGUCGAUGGUAAGGUAGCGGCUUACCAUGGUUGCAACGGGUGACGGAGAAUCAGGGUUCGAUUCCGGAGAGGGAGCCUGAGAAACGGCUACCACAUCCAAGGAAGGCAGCAGGCGCGAAAAUUACCCAAUCCUGACGCAGGGAGGUAGUGACGAAAAAUAACAAUACAGGGCUUUUCAAGUCUUGUAAUUGGAAUGAGUACAAUUUAAACCUCUUAACGAGGAACGAUUGGAGGGCAAGUCUGGUGCCAGCAGCCGCGGUAAUUCCAGCUCCAAUAGCGUAUACUAACGUUGUUGCAGUUAAAAAGCUCGUAGUUGGAUUUCGGGAGGGUGCGGUCGGUCAGCCGCAAGGUAUGUCACUGGCCGUACCCUUCUUCUUCGCAAAGACUGCUCGUGCUCUUAGCUGAGUGUGUGCAGGAUUCGCGACGUUUACUUUGAAAAAAUUAGAGUGUUCAAAGCAGGCCGGGGCUUGAAUACAUAAGCAUGGAAUAAUGGAAUAGGACUUUGGUUCUAUUUUGUUGGUUUCUGGACCGAAGUAAUGAUUAAUAGAGACAGUUGGGGGCAUUCGUAUUUCGUUGUCAGAGGUGAAAUUCUUGGAUUUGCGGAAGACGAACUAAUGCGAAAGCAUUUGUCAAGAAUGUUUUCAUUAAUCAAGAACGAAAGUUAGAGGAUCGAAGACGAUCAGAUACCGUCCUAGUUCUAACCAUAAACGAUGCCGACUGGGGAUCAGCGGAUGUUAUUGUAUGACUCCGUUGGCACCCUAAGGGAAACCAAAGUGUUUGGGUUCCGGGGGAAGUAUGGUUGCAAAGCUGAAACUUAAAGGAAUUGACGGAAGGGCACCACCAGGAGUGGAGCCUGCGGCUUAAUUUGACUCAACACGGGAAAACUCACCAGGUCCAGACAUAGUAAGGAUUGACAGAUUGAGAGCUCUUUCUUGAUUCUAUGGAUGGUGGUGCAUGGCCGUUCUUAGUUGGUGGAGCGAUUUGUCUG